GGCCUGAUGGUCUAGUAGUAUGAUUCCUUGUUAGGGCGCGUAAACGCAUCGUAUCGAGGAGGUCCCGGGUUCAAUUCCCGGUUAGGCCC